ACAGUGCCAUGGCCGUCUAAGCUAAGGUCUGACAAAAUCGAAGAGGCGCAGCUUGCUGCGCCUUUUUU
rnacentral:sRNA from 1 species